CCUACGGGAGGCAGCAGUGGGGAAUCUUGCGCAAUGGGCGAAAGCCUGACGCAGCAACGCCGCGUGCGGGAUGAAGGCCUUCGGGUUGUAAACCGCUUUUAACAGGAACGAAAAUGACGGUACCUGUAGAAUAAGGUGCGGCCAACUACGUGCCAGCAGCCGCGGUGACACGUAGGCACCAAGCGUUGUCCGGAUUUAUUGGGCGUAAAGAGCUCGUAGGCGGUUCGAUAAGUCGGGUGUGAAAACUCUGGGCUUAACCCAGAGACGCCACUCGAUACUAUUGUGACUAGAGUUCGGUAGGGGAGCGGGGAAUUCCUAGUGUAGCGGUGAAAUGCGCAGAUAUUAGGAGGAACACCGGUGGCGAAGGCGCCGCUCUGGGCCGAAACUGACGCUGAGGAGCGAAAGCGUGGGUAGCAAACAGGAUUAGAUACCCUGGUAGUCCACGCCGUAAACGGUGGGCACUAGGUGUGGGCUCCAACCAACGGAGUCCGCGCCGUCGCUAACGCAUAAGUGCCCGCCUGGGAGUACGGCCGCAAGGUUAAACUUAAAUGAAUUGACGG
rnacentral:rRNA from 1 species